CUCCAUACGUUGAAAGUAAAUGGGGACCAGGUGCAUAAAUGAAAAAAUAGCUCCAUAAAAGCAUCAUUAAAGUAUUCCAUAUCACCCAAAUGCCCAAAGUCUUCUCAUGUCAAUGUUUCAUUAUUAUUAUUUAUCUCUUAAACUAAACAAUCUAUUUUUUGGUCUGUUUUUUGUAUCUUGUACUCUGCCAAAAUAUUUUUUAAAUGCCUUUAGAUUAUUUUUUAUAUUAAUUAAUUGAAUGAUUAAUUCAUUUACUUAAUUUACAGACUUAAAUGAGGCAAGAGAUUUUUGGUUUGUUUGUUGUACCUUGUACUGUUUGGUGUAGCUCUGCCGAAAUGAUAAUAAUUAAAAAAAGACUUUUAAAAUUCCUUUUUAAAUGUGGUUUUCUUAAGGUGUAGCUGAUUUUUAUGCAUCUAAAUUUGUGUUAUCCAUAUUUGCGCACUCUUUCCCAAAAACAUGCCAUUUUAAAUCAUUAAACAUUCAUUAAGCUCUUGUUUCUUUUCGUGUUCUUAUAUUGUCCAGGUCCAAGUCCAGGUCCAGGUUAAGCAUGACCAGGUGCAGAGAAAAGUCUUCUUGCUUCCUCUCAGCUGAUUAGUGGAGCCGGUUGAUUGGUGCAAAUGAGGAAGCUUUUAUCCUGCUUGAGUAUAAUCUGCUUGCAUCUUUAUUGGCUAAAAGCAGGCGUGAUGCUGGCAUGACCCAGGCUGGCCCAGAGUUAGCCAAGACUGAUCCUGUUCGCCACAAGGAGAUAUAUGACCUCCAAAGCCCAGGUGGAGAAGGAAAAACAGAAAAAGUGAGUAAAUGAUGAAAGAGUUUUCACUUUGGGUGAAUGAUUCCUUUAAGCCUGAGGGAGAUGAGAUGUCAGCCAUGAUUCAGAAGGGCUUCUUUUAUCAAUUUGUUUAUUUCCACUUCUUGUUGCUUGAUCUCACUGGAGAAUCACUGGAAAAUAUACAAGUGAAGUCAUUCAUUUUGAUAUUUUUUUCCAUACUUACUAACCCACACAGUGCAGUAUCAUGGAAAUAGUUGCUUUUUUGUGCAGUUGUGAAAAGAAAUAAA